rnacentral:rRNA from 1 species
CGCCAGCAGCCGCGGUAAUACAGAGGGUGCGAGCGUUGUCCGGAAUCACUGGGCGUAAAGGGCGCGUAGGCGGUGGCCUAAGCGUGCGGUGAAAGCCCGGGGCUCAACCCCGGGUCGGCCGUGCGAACUGGGUCACUCGAGCACACUAGAGGCGAGUGGAAUUCCGGGUGUAGCGGUGGAAUGCGUAGAGAUCCGGAAGAACACCAGUGGCGAAGGCGGCUCGCUGGGGUGUAGCUGACGCUGAGGCGCGACAGCGUGGGGAGCAAACAGGAUUAGAUACCCUGGUAGUCCACGCCGUAAACGAUGGGCACUAGGUGCUUGCGGGAGCGACCCCGUGAGUGCCGUCGCUAACGCAUUAAGUGCCCCGCCUGGGGAGUACGGCCGCAAGGCUGAAACUCAAAGGAAUUGACGGGGGCCCGCACA